UACGUAGGGGGCAAGCGUUGUCCGGAAUCAUUGGGCGUAAAGAGCGUGUAGGCGGCCAGAAAAGUCCGCUGUGAAAACUCGAGGCUCAACUUCGAGCUGUCGGUGGAAACUUUCUGGCUAGAGUCCGGAAGAGGAGAAUGGAAUUCCUGGUGUAGCGGUGAAAUGCGCAGAUAUCAGGAAGAACACCGAUGGCGAAGGCAGGUCUCUGGGCCAUAACUGACGCUGAGAAGCGAAAGCAUGGGGAGCGAACAGG
rnacentral:rRNA from 1 species